rnacentral:rRNA from 1 species
CGUCUGGUGCCAGCAGCCGCGGUAAUUCCAGCUCUCAAGGUGUAUAUCGCCAUUGCUGCGGUUAAAAAGCUCGUAGUUGGAUCUGCGCCUUCGGACUCGGUCCUCCCAACGGGUGCGAACUGAGCUCCAAGGCUACUACUGCUGGUUUUUCCCUUGAUGCUCUUCACUGGGUGUCUUGGGUGGCUAGCGAGUUUACUUUGAAAAAAUUAGAGUGCUCAAAACAGGCUAUUGCCUGAAUACCGGUGCAUGGAAUAAUAGAAUAGGAUCUCGGUCCUAUUUUGUUGGUUUUCGGAACUGAGAUAAUGGUUAAGAGGGACAGACGGGGGCAUUCGUAUCGCUGCGUGAGAGGUGAAAUUCUUGGACCGCAGCGAGACGCCCAACUGCGAAAGCAUUUGCCAAGAAUGUCUUCGUUAAUCAAGAACGAAAGUCAGAGGUUCGAAGGCGAUCAGAUACCGCCCUAGUUCUGACCGUAAACGAUGCCAACUAGCGAUCCGCCGGUGGUAAUUACGCCCCGGCGGGGAGCUUCCCGGAAACGAAAGUCUUCCGGUUCCGGGGGAAGUAUGGUUGCAAAGCUGAAACUUAAAGGAAUUGACGGAAGGGCACCACCAGGAGUGGAGCUUGCGGCUUAAUUUGACCCAACACGGGAAAACUCACCCGGCCCGGACACCGUAAGGAUUGACAGAUUGAGAGCUCUUUCUUGAUUCGGUGGUUGGUGGUGCAUGGCCGUUCUUAGUUGGUGGAGCGAUUUGUCUGGUUUAUUCCGAUAACGAACGAGACUCUGGCCUACUAACUAGUGACAGAAUUAUUGCUGUUCUGGUUACUUCUUAGAGGGACAAGUGGUGUUCAGCCACACGAAAUUGAGCAAUAACAGGUCUGUGAUGCCCUUAGAUGUCCGGGGCUGCACGCGUGCUACACUGGAGGAAACAGCAUGCAAAACCAUUGCCGAGAGGCAUUGGUAAACCCGAGAAAAUCUUCCGUGAUCGGGAUCGGGAAUUGCAAUUAUUUCCCUUGAACGAGGAAUUCCCAGUAAGUGUGGGUCAUCAGCUCGCGCUGAUUACGUCCCUGCCCUUUGUACACACCGCCCGUCGCUGCCCGGGACUGAGCCGUUUCGAGAAAAGCGGGGACUGCUGCUGUUGGGGCUUUCGGGCCUUGGCUUCGGUGGAAACCGCUU